rnacentral:rRNA from 1 species
UGAUAGGGCCCAGUCUAUGCUCCGGUUGUGUUGUUGGGUGAGCUUCUUCACCCUUCCGGUUGUGCUGUUGGUUCCAGUCUAUGAGCAAUUUUUUUUGUUUAUUACUGUUGACCAGAUGCUCAGAUCUAGCUAGGCUUCCAUAUAGAAUUUUUUAAGCUUUUAAAUUUGUUGUGUGCCUCGGAUAAGUUACUGCAAAUGGGAUUAUUGUUCCUGCUCAGGAGAUGCUCUCUGGCCUGACUAGAGUCAUAGAAAGAUUUUUUGUUGCCAUUCUUAGUUUGUUUGGUACCUUGCUCUUUCCUUGUCAAGAAAGGGAUCAAUUUGUCCUGGAGCUCCUGUCCCCUUUAUAAAGGAGGUUUUUGUUCCUUUGCUUGAUGUGUUUCCCUCCUUUGAAUUGUAGGAUUUUCAAGAUGGGCCUUCCUAUCCAUAAGUUUGUCUUUAUACUGCAUAUUAAUUCACUCUUUUGGGGUUGAUUAAAGAAGUUAACUCUUCUUCAUAACAGUUUUUCAAAUGCCCUGAUGGGAUGACCCUAAACAUGGAUAGUUUAACUUGGUAUAUCAGCUCAAACACCUGAUCCGCAAAAUGUAGAAAUUAUCUUGACGCAACUAAGGAAGACACUGGGCAGGUAUUUUUUCAUUAUACACUUCACGGUGUAUGCACUAAUUUCUUCUUAGCUAAACAUUGUCGGAGUGGUCACUUUAUUGCAGUGUCUUAUUUUCAGAUCUCAUGUUCCUCAAGAUAAUGGACAAGAAUGCGUUUUUGGUAGUAUGGCACCAUUACAAUAUAUUUUCUACUAUGUCGUUCAUUUGUUAUGCACCAUCUUUAAGGAAGCAUAGAGAAUGUUUGUUUGCCAUUGUUAUAAAUCUGUAUCUGAAUAUUAUUUGUAGAUUUAUGUUUGGAAACACCAAUCACGAUAAUGUUUUUGUGUGUGUAGAAAGAUUUGCAUAUUUCAUAUACUAAUACAGAAAUUGAACAAUUGUAAGAAAUAUGGUUGGAGAUGUCAUGUAAACUGGUAGUUUUCAUAAGAAGAUAAUUGUCAUGUUAUAUGAUAUACUAUUAGGUUAUUUGUAGUACUACUGCAUUUUCUUAUAUAGUUACACUAAUUUAAUGUGUAGGUGACAAGGCGUUGGAUUGGAGCCAUGAUUUACUUAGUAGCUUUAUUGGCUGGCAUCGAACUAUUUGGUGCUACAAUUAUUGUAAAUGUCUAACUUUGUAAGAUAUUCAUCAUUGGUUCAUCAUAGUAUGCUUAGUUCUGUGCCUUGUUUCAGAGGCUUGCUCUUAGUACUCCUCUAGACAGGGAACGUUGAUGACUCC